UGCAGUCGAGCGAGAACCAGGGCUUCGGCCCUGGGGACAGCGGCGAACGGGUGAGUAACGCGUGGGUGACCUACCUUCGAGUGGGGGAUAACGUUCCGAAAGGGACGCUAAUACCGCAUGACAUCCUGCCUUUGAACAGGCGGUGAUCAAAGCCGGAACCGCAAGGUCUGGUGCUUGAUGAGGGGCCCGCGUCCGAUUAGCUAGUUGGUGGGGUAAUGGCUCACCAAGGCGACGAUCGGUAGCCGGCCUAAGAGGGCGGACGGCCACACUGGGACUGAGACACGGCCCAGACUCCUACGGGAGGCAGCAGUGGGGAAUUGUUCGCAAUGGGCGCAAGCCUGACGACGCAACGCCGCGUGGAGGAUGAAGAUCUUCGGGUCGUAAACUCCUGUCGAGCGGGACGAAAGGUCCGCGACCUAAUACGUCGUGGAAGUGACGGUACCGCUAGAGGAAGCCCCGGCUAACUCCGUGCCAGCAGCCGCGGUAAUACGGGGGGGGCUAGCGUUGUUCGGAAUUACUGGGCGUAAAGGGCUCGUAGGUGGCCAACUCAGUCAGACGUGAAAUCCCUCGGCUUAACCGGGGAACUGCGUCUGAUACUGGAUGGCUUGAAUCCGGGAGAGGGAUGCGGAAUUCCAGGUGUAGCGGUGAAAUGCGUAGAUAUCUGGAGGAACACCGGUGGCGAACGCGGCAUCCUGGACCGGUAUUGACACUGAGGAGCGAAAGCCAGGGGAGCAAACGGGAUUAGAUACCCCGGUAGUCCU
rnacentral:rRNA from 1 species